AGAGUUUGAUCAUGGAUCAGAACGAACGCUGGCGGCAUGCCUAAUACAUGCAAGUCGAACGAGAUCUUCGGGUCUAGUGGCGCACGGGUGCGUAACGCGUGGGAAUCUGCCCUUGGGUUCGGAAUAACAGUUGGAAACGACUGCUAAUACCGGAUGAUGACGUAAGUCCAAAGAUUUAUCGCCCAAGGAUGAGCCCGCGUAGGAUUAGCUAGUUGGUGAGGUAAAGGCUCACCAAGGCGACGAUCCUUAGCUGGUCUGAGAGGAUGAUCAGCCACACUGGGACUGAGACACGGCCCAGACUCCUACGGGAGGCAGCAGUAGGGAAUAUUGGACAAUGGGGGCAACCCUGAUCCAGCAAUGCCGCGUGAGUGAUGAAGGCCUUAGGGUUGUAAAGCUCUUUUACCCGGGAUGAUAAUGACAGUACCGGGAGAAUAAGCCCCGGCUAACUCCGUGCCAGCAGCCGCGGUAA
rnacentral:rRNA from 1 species